rnacentral:rRNA from 1 species
AUACGGAGGGUGCAAGCGUUGUUCGGAAUCACUGGGCGUAAAGGGCGCGCAGGCGGUUUGGUAAGUCAGAUGUGAAAGCCCACGGCUCAACCGUGGAAGUGCAUUUGAAACUGUCAGACUUGAGUACUAGAGGGGAAAGUGGAAUUCCCGGUGUAGAGGUGAAAUUCGUAGAUAUCGGGAGGAAUACCGGUGGCGAAGGCGACUUUCUGGCUAGAUACUGACGCUGAGGCGCGAAAGCGUGGGGAGCAAACAGGAGUAGAAACCCUGGUAGUCC